rnacentral:rRNA from 1 species
CAGCAGCCGCGGUAAUACGUAGGUCCCGAGCGUCGUCCGGAUUUAUUGGGUGUAAAGAGAGCGUAGACGGUUAAACAAGUCUGAAGUGAAAUGCCGGGGCUCAACCCCGGAGCUGCUUUGGGAACUGUAGAACUGGAGUGUCGGAGGGGUAAGCGGAAUUCCCAGUGUAGCGGUGAAAUGCGUAGAUAUUGGGGGGAACACCGGCGGCGAAGGCGGCUUACUGGACGACAACUGACGUUGAGGCUCGAAGGCGUGGGUAGCAAACUGGAUUAGAUACCCCUGUAGUCCCUGUCUCUUAUAC